rnacentral:rRNA from 1 species
GACGAACGCUGGCGGCGUGCUUAACACAUGCAAGUCGAACGGAAAGGCCCUGCUUUUGUGGGGUGCUCGAGUGGCGAACGGGUGAGUAACACGUGAGUAACCUGCCCUUGACUUUGGGAUAACUUCAGGAAACUGGGGCUAAUACCGGAUAGGAGCUCCUGCUGCAUGGUGGGGGUUGGAAAGUUUCGGCGGUUGGGGAUGGACUCGCGGCUUAUCAGCUUGUUGGUGGGGUAGUGGCUUACCAAGGCUUUGACGGGUAGCCGGCCUGAGAGGGUGACCGGCCACAUUGGGACUGAGAUACGGCCCAGACUCCUACGGGAGGCAGCAGUGGGGAAUAUUGCACAAUGGGCGGAAGCCUGAUGCAGCAACGCCGCGGGCGGGAUGACGGCCUUCGGGUUGUAAACCGCUUUCGCCUGUGACGAAGCGUGAGUGACGGUAAUGGGUAAAGAAGCACCGGCUAACUACGUGC